rnacentral:rRNA from 1 species
AACGAACGCUGGCGGCAUGCCUAACACAUGCAAGUCGAACGAACCCUUCGGGGUUAGUGUCGCACGGGUGCGUAACGCGUGGGAAUCUGCCCUUUGCUUCGGAAUAACAGUUAGAAAUGACUGCUAAUACCGGAUGAUGUCUUCGGACCAAAGAUUUAUCGGCAAGGGAUGAGCCCGCGUAGGAUUAGGUAGUUGGUGGGGUAAAGGCCUACCAAGCCGACGAUCCUUAGCUGGUCUGAGAGGAUGAUCAGCCACACUGGGACUGAGACACGGCCCAGACUCCUACGGGAGGCAGCAGUGGGGAAUAUUGGACCAUGGGCGCAAGCCUGGUCCAGCAAUGCCGCGUGAGUGAUGAAGGCCUUCGGGUCGUAAAGCUCUUUUACCAGGGAUGAUAAUGACAGUACCUGGAGAAUAAGCUCCGGCUAACUCCGUGCCAGCCGCCGCAGUAAUAC